rnacentral:rRNA from 1 species
UGAGUUUGAUCAUGGCUCAGAGCGAACGCUGGCGGCAUGCUUAGCACAUGCAAGUCGCACGGUCAGCAAUGGCAGUGGCGGACGGGUGAGUAACACGUAGGAAUCUAUCUCUGGGUGGGGGACAACCAUGGGAAACUAUGGCUAAUACCGCAUGAUACCUGAGGGCCAAAGGCGCGAGUCGCCUGGAGAGGAGCCUGCGUCUGAUUAGCUUGUUGGUGGGGUAAAGGCCUACCAAGGCGACGAUCAGUAGCUGGUCUGAGAGGAUGAUCAGCCACAUUGGGACUGAGACACGGCCCAAACUCCUACGGGAGGCAGCAGUGGGGAAUAUUGGACAAUGGGGGCAACCCUGAUCCAGCAAUGCCGCGUGUGUGAAGAAGGUCUUCGGAUUGUAAAGCACUUUUGGCAGGGACGAUGAUGACGGUACCUGCAGAAUAAGCCCCGGCUAACUUCGUGCCAGCAGCCGCGGUAAUACGAAGGGGGCUAGCGUUGCUCGGAAUGACUGGGCGUAAAGGGCGCGUAGCG